AAAGGAAUUGACGGGGGCCCGCACAAGCGGCGGAGCAUGCGGAUUAAUUCGAUGCAACGCGAAGAACCUUACCAAGGCUUGACAUGCACCGGACGGCCGCAGAAAUGUGGCUUUCUUCGGACUGGUGCACAGGUGGUGCAUGGUUGUCGUCAGCUCGUGUCGUGAGAUGUUGGGUUAAGUCCCGCAACGAGCGCAACCCUCGUUCCAUGUUGCCAGCGCGUAAUGGCGGGGACUCAUGGGAGACUGCCGGGGUCAACUCGGAGGAAGGUGGGGACGACGUCAAAUCAUCAUGCCCCUUAUGUCUUGGGCUUCACGCAUGCUACAAUGGCCGGUACAAUGGGUUGCGAAACUGUGAGGUGGAGCGAAUCCCAAAAAGCCGGUCUCAGUUCGGAUUGGGGUCUGCAACUCGACCCCAUGAAGUCGGAGUCGCUAGUAAUCGCAGAUCAGCAACGCUGCGGUGAAUACGUUCCCGGGCCUUGCACACACCGCCCGU
rnacentral:rRNA from 1 species